UACGUAGGGUGCGAGCGUUAAUCGGAAUUAUUGGGCGUAAAGAGCUCGUAGGCGGUCUGUCGCGUCUGCUGUGAAAAUCCGGGGCUCAACCCCGGACUUGCAGUGGGUACGGGGAGACUAGAGUGUGGUAGGGGAGACUGGAAUUCCUGGUGUAGCGGUGAAAUGCGCAGAUAUCAGGAGGAACACCGAUGGCGAAGGCAGGUCUCUGGGCCACUACUGACGCUGAGAAGCGAAAGCAUGGGGAGCGAACAGG
rnacentral:rRNA from 1 species